rnacentral:rRNA from 1 species
GAUGAACGCUGGCGGCGUGCUUAACACAUGCAAGUCGAACGAGAAGUGAAGACGGAAACCUUCGGGCGGAAGGCUUUAUUUCGAGUGGCGGACGGGUGAGUAACGCGUGGGUAACCUGCCUCAUACAGGGGGAUAACAGUUGGAAACGACUGUUAAUACCGCAUAAGACCACAGCACCGCAUGGUGCGGGGGUAAAAACUCCGGUGGUAUGAGAUGGACCCGCGUUCGAUUAGCCAGUUGGCGGGGUAACGGCCCACCAAAGCGACGAUCGAUAGCCGAUCGGGGAGAAGGCCCGGCCACAUUGGGACUGACACCCGCCCAAAACCCCUACGGGAGGCGGCGGUGGGGAAUUUUCAACAAGGGGGAAAACCUGGAGGCAGCGCCGCGGGGGGAGGAAAAAAUUUUUCGGUUAUGUAAACCUCUAUCAGAAGGAAAAAAAAGGAGGGUACCUGAUAAAGAGCCCCCGGCUAACUACGUC